rnacentral:lncRNA from 1 species
UUUUUUUUUUUUUUUUUUUUUCCCCGAAAUGAAAAAACAUUGAAAGUGGUGAGCUCUGGGGAGAGAAAGAGAGAUUGAAAUAGAAGGAGAGGAAUAUUUGUUUUCUAUUUUUGCCUUCUGGAAUUCAUUUCUUACCUUGUAUACUUAUUAAUUUUAUUUUAUUAGAGUUCAUCAGAGACAGGAUUAUGAUCAUGUGGGUCUUCAUUUUUCUAUCACUGUUUCAAAAAAAAUAAAAUAGUAUGCUUUGUAAGCUUUAUAACUGCAAAUCUCUGCCCUCAACAACACGUUUUGUUCCUGUAAACAAAAGCUUUGCUUCUCAGAGAGAAGUCCAUUUGAUGUGCAUUUCUUGAAGUAGAAUAUUACAGAACACCUUCACCAAACCAAAAAAAAAAAAAAAAAAAAAGUUGGUUAUUGGGUUUUCCUGUUAUUUUAGUAUUUCUUAAAGUGGUAUAACCAUGUGUUACUCUUUAUAAAGAUUUAUGAUUUCUGAGUUGGGGUGAUUUUCCCCCCAGAGGACAUUCUUCUAGAUCUAGAAACAUUUUUGGUUGUCAUAAUUAGGUGGGUGGGUCCUACCAGCAGCAAGUGGAUAAGGGCCACUAACAUCCCACAGGGCACAGAAUAGUCUCCUCCCAACAGAGAAUUAUCUGGUCCAAAAUACCAAUGGUGUCUAGGUUAAAAAACACUGAUGUAGACACAAAGACUCUGUCGUCUAACUUGUAGAAUUUCACCCUAAAGCUGUGCUCACAGUAACUGAUUAGACUAGUGGUGGGGAGAAUGGUGAGCUCUUAUUUGUUUGGAUGACACUCCAAGUGUGAGGUUGUGGUUAGCCAGAUUCAGGGGCAGCUGUUUGGGUCCAUUCAAGGCACACGAUACACAGACAUACAAGGCUUUAAAACAGAAUUGAAUCUACCUUUAUUCUUUAUUCAUUUAUUUAACAAAUAUUCAUUGAAUCUCUGCUAUCCCAUCAGGUAGACACAGUUUAUAAGAGAAAUUGCCCUCCAUGUAGGAACACAUCUACUUUAAAUAAUAAUUUAAAAAAAGAGACGUACCCAGGUCAUGUCAAAAUACUACAAUCAAGAUUUUGGCUAGGGUAUUUCUUUGGAGACUUGAUAUGAAAUGAGAAUGAAACUGACAUGUUUAGAUAGUUUAUAUAUUCAAUGUACACACAAUUAAUUUCCAGCAUGACUUAUUGUGUCCUGCAGUCAUUAAAAAUAAACUCCUAUCCCUUUAGAAAACCCGGAUCCUCAAAGGACAUCAGUACAGGAGGCUAAAGGAGGCUACACAAACCAAGGAAGAAUUUAAGCCUGGGACAUGGACAGCAAGAGUUUCUGGUAGUUUCAUUUUGUAUUUCUGACUGGUCCCCACCCUAACCAGUUAUCUCGGGACAGGAAGUACUCCUGGACUUCCCUCCGCAGCUAGAAUAGCCGGAAGGACAUGACCAUGUGGACCCCGGACUGGACUUGGCUCCUCACUCUGAACAGAGUCAUUAGGAAAGUUCGUGAACUCUCCCUCCCUAAGCAAUCAUGAAUUCACACAUAAUUCUCCCCCAUCAAAGUGAGCCUUGUGAAAACACCUCCCUUAAACUUAAAGAAAUCCCAGCAGAAUGAAUUCUCUCAGAACUUAUAAUAGUUGUAGCAUUAUUGAUCCAUGAACAAUUAAAUUUUUGGAAUUAGUGCCUAAGAACACAAAGGAAGAAUCUGUACUUUUUCUCAAGUCCCUGUAGAGUAUCUCAUUCCAACAAAAGCAAGUUACACUUUUUUUCUGUGAUUUAGCAAAAGCACCAUUUCCAACUACCAAAAGUAACCACUUAAAAGAGUUUUUUUGUUUACUUAUGAUUCAGAAAUUUUUUCCUAAUAAAAAGUACAGCUACAAAAUAUUAAGAUCAGAAAAAUGUAUUCACAAAAAAAUAUAUUGCCAAUGCAUUUUCUCCCAUUUUUGGUUGUCUUCAAGGAAAACUGUAGGUUAGAAGAGCAGCAUCAACACCAACACAACUGGACCAAAACAAUAGCUGACCCAGAGAUGGCUGAACCCACUGAGGGAAGGUCAGAGCAGGUUCAGCCUGACCUCCCUGCUAGGCAGGAGUCUGUGAAGGAUUCUGUCUGUUUCAGACUGUCCCAGCUGCAACCGUUCCUGGUUGAUCCUGCCUCCACUACCCUGAUGGAGCUUAGCUUGGAGACCAACACCAGUUCUGUAGGUGACCAAAGUUCUGGUCAGAUCCAAAUCCUACUGUCAUUCUCAAAGUUUGGGAUGUCCCGGUCUAGCCUUGAAAUAACCUAGAUCAUUUUGGGCCAUAGCAGUGGAUGCUGGGUCCAGGACCAGCCCAGGAGUCUUGGAUCCACCACAUAUCUACUCAAAUCAAAGGGCUUUGACUAGAACUAGAAAAAUGAUGGGGAAAGCAGCAAACCAUCUGCCUGGCUGCAUUCAACCCAGGGUUAGUCACAAUAGGUGUUCAACCCCUGGUCCUGUGUAAUCAAUCAAAGACAACUGCCACUAAGAACUAAAAACCUGGGCAGGCUGUCUGGUUUUAAAUCAUGCCUUGUGUCACUUUGGAACUAUGGAACAAGUUAAACCUCAACAUGCUCCUUUACUUUAACUCAUUCCAGUUUCUCAAAUGAGAACGAAAGAAACAUCAGAAGUUAUCCAUCAGCAGUGCAAUAGGCUCCACACUGGGCCAAGCACUAUGUUCUCUCUCUUAACACAGAAGUUCCUUUUACUUAUAGAUUUAAUGCAAACCCUGUGUUUUGUUAAAUGGUGGCACAUGUAUUUGUUUAUUUACUAUGUGCUGUGCAGUGUCCUAAGUAAUUUAUAAACAUGAAUAUAUUUAUAUCUAUGUAUUUAUAUAUUUACAUGUACAUUUAUCAUAAAAUAAGGAUGUACUUUGUUUUCUGACUGAAUCUAUUUUUUUAAGUUUUACAAUGUUGUGCCUAUUUUUAAAAACAUUUUUAUUGUUUUAGUAAUAUGUGCACAUUUUAAUAAAGUACUAAGUUUUUUGAAGAAAAAGUGAAUUAUAUUACUGUCCUCUUCUAGAUCCAGUCUUCUGAAGUAACACCAAUGGCACCAAUGUGGACUAAGCCUUCUGAAGGGGUUAUGAGCAAAAGAUUUUAAAGAAAAUGCAAGACUCAAAGCAAACCAUUAGCAUGAGGUAAAGAGUAACAAUCUCUCAGGUAAAGAAAAAAAUUGAGAGAUGAAGUGGAAAACAGGAUAAAGGAAAAGACUUAUGCCCCCAGCACUGAAAGAGGCUAAAUGCACAGCUGAGCUGAGCUGAUUUAUUUAUUUAUUUAUUUAGGCCAUGCCUGCAGCGUGCAGAAGUUCUGGGUCCAGGGAUCAAACCCAUGCCACAGCAGUGACAGUGCCGGAUCCUUAACCCACUAGUCAUCAGGGAACUUUAUGAGUUGAAUUUUUAAGUUAAUGCUGUUGAGUGAAGAAUGGACCAUAGGUCAGCAGACCUGAGAGGUGGGUGGCAGGGACAAUGUGAAAUUGUAGGCUUUCCAUAAUUAAUCUGUGAGUUUCUAAUGGCACAGAAAGAGCACCUGAUGGUUCUCUUCAACAGGUAUUUCCUCUCAAGAGUUAGCCACAUGACCUUUUGAAAACAGUCCAGUUACCCCAAGCUCCAAUACCCAAAGGAUCCCUGGUAUUGCAUUUGAACAGUCACCAGUGCAGAAAGGAAAUCUUAUCCCUCUUCUCUGGGGAGAGGAAUGGAGUGGCCCAAAAGGCAAAUCCAGAAACAGUUCGCCCACUGAGACCGAGCAUCUUCCAAGAGCCUCCUUUCUCCCCUGUGAUGUGUUCAGGAGGCAUCUGGCCUGACCUUUAAGAAGGCUUUGAAGCCAAGGGAAGCUCACAGGUGCCCUGGAGAAUGGGCUCUAGGGUGGUCAGAGCCACCGUAUCCUUUGUGGAACUAAAAUUCAGCACAACAUAAUAGAUAGGAUUUUGAGUUGAGGGAUUAACUGGAAAAUAAAGAAGGGAGUAAUCUGGUCAGAAAAAUACUAUAAAUUCUGCAGGGUCAUGAUUGCAACCCUCAGAAUAAAAUGAAGGCAUCAGGCUCCAGGGACUGCCUUUACAGCUGCGAAAAUGUUACAGACUGAGCAUCUUUGUCUUUCAAAGAGACCCAAACAAAGAUCAAAUGAUGGAGGGGGUGGGGAGUGGGAAUGUAGAAAUCCCUAGCUUGGUGACCCUGACGUGGCCUGUGAUUUGGAAACUUUGCUGUAUCACAUAAAAAUCAGUCUCUUAGGCCUUUAAAAAUACAUGUGUUAAUUGUCAUUUCAUACCUGCAUAGACUAUUAACCUCUCCCCAUACCUAAUUAAUAAUUCUUAAUGAAGGCAGGUGUCUUAACUUAAACUUCAAAGCGUUGGAAAUACUAAUGGGAUGUGAAGAUGAUAUUUGUCCAAGGCAGUGGUUUGGCAUCCUGACUGCACAUUAGAAUCACCUGGAGAGUUUUAAAAUAUUGAUGCCUGGAAUCCAUCUUCUGAAAUUCUGGUUUAAUUGUUCUGUGGUGAGGCUAGGUUAUUUCUAUUAUUUUUAGCACUUUCCCAGGAGAUGUGAAUGUGCAGGCAGCCAUGAGAAACAUAGAUGUGGUAUCACUGGGAUCCUAAGCCCUUCUAAGCAACACCCCACUUCCUAUAAGAUGAAAGAAAGGAAAGCAGAAUAAGUAACCCUUUAAUGCAGCUGGGGCCCCCAAUCUCACUGCAGCACUGUAGUCAGCUGGGUGGGAGCUAAUGAUGAAUGCUUUAGCACAUACACUCCUGGAUAGCCAACCACCAAAGCCAAAUGAAGAGCUAAUUCUUGCUCUCCAUCCCCAUGUCCAAUUUCCACACUCAGUUGUUACCACUCCCACAAGAGAGACAACCACAUCCACCAGCAAAAAAACAGAAUAAACAGGACAUAUUUGCAAUUCCUAUUUCAACCCAGAAAGAAUUAGUAUCCCAAAAUAAAAGGAAAUGCAAAUCAAUAAGAAAAAGGCAACACCCCAAUGGAAAAGUGAGCAAAGGAUGCAGACAACUAAUAAAAAAAGAAGCCUUGAAUGAACAUUAAACAUAUGAAAAGAGCUUCGACUUCUGUAGUAAUCAGAGAAAUGCCAAUUAUAAUCACAUAGAUACCAUUUCACACUCAUCAGAAUGAUUAAAAUCCAAAAGUAGUAUCAAAGUUUAGCAGGGAUGUUGAGGAAUAAGAACUCUGCUGUAUUACUUAGGGGUGUAAAUUUGCACAACUCAGAAGAGCAAUUUUUCAAUAUCUGCUAAAUAGUAAUGCAAAAGAUGCUCACACCCGUCAAGGAAACAAUUUUCCUUUCAGGUAUUUGUUGCUCAGACAGAUACAGAAGGAGAUACCCACAAGGGUGUCCACUGCAACCUUCUUUGUAACGUAAUUAGGUUGGAAGGGUUAAUACCCUCCAACAGUAGAGCAGAGAGUUGUGGUUUCCUCAUCAGACAAUGAAAUCAUAUACUCAGUUGAAAUGGAUAAAUGACAUCUACAUAUUUCAACACGGAUUAAUCUAAAAAGUAAUGUUGAAUGAAAAGGGCAAGUUACAAAAAGUCAUUCUCAGUACGAUAGACUUAAUGUAAAAUGCUUAACACAAACACAAUAAUACAGAUACGCAUAAACAAAUAUGUAGAAAAAGUAUAAAAACAUGAGCAGGAAAAAUGCACAUGAACAGUAAGAAAGUUAUUACCUUUGGGAAGAGGUAAUAUCUCCCUGGGCGAUGAGGAAGGCAUUUCCACUGCAACUAAAAUGUCUUUCUUUCUCCCUCCCUUCCUUCCUUCCUUUUAUACCAUUAUUUGUUAAUUUGAAGCAAAUGUGGCCAAAUGUUCAUUUAAAAACCUGGGUAUAGGUAAAUGUGUACUUAUAGUUUUAUCUGUAUCUUAUCGUACAUUUGAAAUAUUUAAUAAUUAACUUAAAUUUUUUUCUUUUUAUUAUUUUUGCUUCUAAUAAUUUUUUUAAAAACUUUCUAAGAGGAACAAAAAGAAGCCACAAGCAUCUCCUUCAAUAAGAGCUUUGGUGUAUUUCCUCUCUCUUCCUUCAAUGCUAAGAUAGCGAAUCAGGUGUAAUGAAGUCUGUUACUGGCUGCCAGGACCCACCUGCUGAUUGGGGCGGAAAACUGGGGGGUCUCAGGUGACCUAUCCCCCAGCCACCACACUAGGCUCAUGCUGCAUUAUCAAUGUCUUUUCAGUAACUCCCACUUUGGAACGUCGGAGAGAUUUAACCUAACUUUCAGAGUAACAAACAAACUUGGAGUGAAGGACUCUCCUUAUUUCCAUAAUUGGUGUUUUACGUGGCCAAAUUAAAGUUGUAUUUAACUUACAUUUGAUGUGUUUCAAAUGCUCUGGCCCCUACAAAAGAUUGGGUUAUGAGUCAUUGAUGUACAACUGGAGAGGAUAUUGGAAACAUCUGGGGAACCAGUGCUAUGGAGCACCUGAUGGACGAGGAAACCCCGACUAGAAAGGCAGGGAGGCUUCGAAGAGCCUGCGUUGUGCCACUGCUGGAGCCAGGGCCCUGGGCUCAUGACUCCCUGCUCUGAGACCCCAGGUUGCCCAGGUGGUCUUUUUAUGGACAGGUGACACAUUCUCAGAGCAGAAAAUUAGAAGAUGUUGAAACUAUUUGCAUGUCUCUUUUUCUCUCCAUGGUGUUAUUUUAUCUCUACAAUUAAAAUUUACAGAAACUAUGCUGCUAAACAUUUUAGGUAACCAGUUUAUUUGAAGAAGGAAAUAAAAGAAAAUAGCUUUUUUUUUAAAUCAUUGCUUUCAGCCAUGUCUGAUCAAAUCAUCCAUUCCAUUACUUAGUGUCAUUUUAGACAGACAAGAUAUCUCUGAGGUCACUUUUAGUUAUUAAAAUGUGUCC